UGGCGCGGCAGCAGCAGGAAGCCCCAUAGGCUAAAGUGGUGCUUCAGGUUAAGAACAGUUUCAGGUUAAGAACGGACCUCCGGAAUGAAUUAAGUACUUAACCCGAGGUACCACUGUACGUCUCUCACCCCAUGCCAUGAUUCCAUCCUGCUACAUGCCCAGCGCUGAUUGAGGAAGAUGCCUGUUUUGGUGAAGUUUGUAAAUUAUCUUACACAGGAAGAAAAAACGCUGUAGGGUUUAUAGUGGCAGACCUUCAGUUUCACCCCAGCCAGAUUGUAUUACAGAACUGCAGUUUCCUCUUCCCUUAGUUUCAUCAUCAGCUCCCUUCCACCAUUUCCUGCUCCUUGUUAUUUAGAAAGUCAUUUAUGAAUGACAUUGAAUUUGAGGCAAGCAGUGAGUUGGCCAAGUUGGCCGAUGAUGCCAGAUUGUUCAAGGCGCUUUAAACGAAAAGGAUGUGCCCAAACUGGGUGAACAACGGGCAAUAAAAUGGCAAAUGCCAUUCAACGUAAGCAAGUGACGCACAUUGGUGCAAAAAUACCCCCAACCACCCUUAUUUCGCGUGUACGUUGAUGAGGUUUGAGCUGGCGGUGACUGACCACGAAAAGGACCUUGGAGUCAUGGUGAGCAGCUCAAAGAAAACGUCAACUCUGCACUCGGAAGUUUAAGGCAAAUUCCACAACAAGGAUCAUUAGGAAAGGGGUUGCGACUGAAACGAGAUUGAAUAAAUCUAUGGUGCAAUCAUAUCUGGAGUACAGUACAGUGGUACCUCGGGUUACAUAUGCUUCAGGUUACAUACGCUUCAGGUUACAGACUCCGCUAACCCAGAAAUAGUACCUUGGGUUAAGAACUUUGCUUCAGGAUGAGAACACAAAUCGCGCAGCGGCAGUGGGAGGCCCCAUUAGCUAAAGUGGUGCUUCAGGUUAAGAACAGUUUCAGGUUAAGAACGGACCUCCGGAACGAAUUAAGUACUUAACCCAAGGUACUGAGUUCAACUGGUUUUCACAGCUCAAAAAGAAUACUAUAGAGCUCGGAAAGUUUCAGAAAUGGGCAAGCAAACUUACCCCUAUGAGUAAAGGUUACACCAUUUAAGAGAGGCUCGGAGAUAUAGAUGGAGGAUAAGUAACCAGGCGUUGAAAGGUUACUAGGCAUGAAG